rnacentral:sRNA from 2 species
UCGAGCGGAACGCCGAACCCUGCCGCCGCUCGCAGGUCCGUACGACUCGCCGGCAGGGGCGGGGGAACCACAUUGCGGGCACCGGUCACACGGUGUCCUUGGGGUGAAGCCGGGCGGACGGUACGGCAGCGUGCACGUGAGUGCAGGCGGUCGUGGCGGCCGACCGGCCGGGUGAUCUCCCACCCGAACCCGACAGCUCACCUCGUAGGCGCCAGGAGAGGCACG